GUGACUAUACCAUGUUAGAGACAUGAGGAUUAGAUACUUGAGACUUGGACUAUGCUUGCUUGCCAUUUGUGCUCAUUCGCACAUGCUUGUGAGGGUCGCUCCCUACAAGCCGGCACUCCGGAGUUAGCCUACGCGACUUAUGUUCGCUCGUGCGGUAUUGAGAAGCCUACGGGGUCGAGUGGAACAGACACAUUCCAAGAGUAGGAAUGUCGGGCUACCACAGGCACUUAGGCGGCAUAAGCUGGACUACCUUUGGUAGGUACUUAAUUGGAAAUGGAAAUCGACACGGUGUUGAGUUUAUUAUGAUCACUACUAGUCAGAGAGUAGUAGUAGGAUUACUUUGACUUACUUCUAGCAUAGUUGUGGACAUUUGGGUAUUCAUACAUACAUGUAGCAUGCUAGGAGAUGUUGUUUAUUGCAUCCUUAUAUGCAUUGUAGUCAUGACCAAGUAUUACUUUCAUAUCUGUAUAAAGUAAAGCAUGAUAUUACUUGUGAGCAUAUAUAUCUAUGACAAGAUAAAGUCACAUUAGGAAUGCCAUGUUUAACUGCUAGUCGUAGCUUAGCAUCUUAAUUAUUAUGCUUUCUAAAAUGUAAUUUACUCGUUACUAUUAUUGUUAGACUUACCCGUUUCUUUUGGGGCCUAG
rnacentral:lncRNA from 1 species